UACGUAGGGCGCGAGCGUUGUCCGGAAUUAUUGGGCGUAAAGAGCUCGUAGGCGGCUUGUCGCGUCUGCCGUGAAAGCUCAUGGCUUAACUGUGGGUCUGCGGUGGAUACGGGCUGGCUAGAGGUAGGCAGGGGCAAGCGGAAUUCCUGGUGUAGCGGUGAAAUGCGCAGAUAUCAGGAAGAACACCGGUGGCGAAAGCGCUCUGCUAGGCCGCAACUGACACUGAGGGACGAAAGCUAGGGGAGCGAAUGGG
rnacentral:rRNA from 1 species